UGACAGGCGAACGGGGAGGGGGAGUGCGUCUGUGAGCCAGGAAUCUAUUUGUGGAUUUCAUAGAGGCAUGCUCGAAUCAAGUCCCAAAGCUUUGGCAUGGUGUUUAUUAGCCAAGUUAAGUGUAUUGCAAAUUAAUGCCCGCAGUGGCAUUUAUGAAUGAGAAGAGGGAAAAAAAAUCAACUUCCCCCACUGCCUGGCAGAUUCCCAGGCAGAGGUCUUCCCCCUUCCGCCCCCCUCCCUUUUUUGGUAUGUCGUACUUGUUUGUUUUUGGAGGUUCCCACUUUAGUUCCAGCCCACUGCCUGGGUUGGAAGUCCGAGAGGAAACGAAUGCAGGGAGUUCUCCGGGAGGCUGACUUCUACUUCCUCACGGAUGCGGGAGACUGGGUAAGCCCUUCCAGCCUCCCUCCGCAGGCGGGCGGGAGGCGAUGCUAACGAAGCAGCCAGCCAAAAGCCCAGGGGACCACCUUGCAGUGAUUUGUACUGAGAUCAUCACCUGUGUAUACUGCAAUGCCAAACCAGAUUCCAGCACCAUUGUGCCCAGUGGAUCUAAAGCUGAAAGUUUUGAGGGGUUUUUAACACAUUUCCUUGGGACCACUUAGGAUCCUCCCAUUUCAAAUGGAUUGCAAUGCUUUUCUAGUCAAGUACAAAGAAAUAGGAGAUUAUAAUGUUCUGUAAUAAAACUGUUAGCAGAAUAUAAGAUCCUAUUCUGUCUUCAACACACUCAGAAGACCCCCCACAAAGCAAUUUGCUUUGACAUCAUCAGUAUCCUUCGUGUGACUGAUAAAUUUUCCCUCAAAAUUUCAAAAACUAUCUUCUUAUGCAAUUUUAAUAAAAACAUACACAAGUAAUUAUGCUAAUCUUUCUUUUAUAUGUGCUCUAGAACUCUUCGUCCUUUUAAAAGUGUAGGGCUGUUCAGUCUUCACAAUUUAGCAGUCUUGCUUAAGAAGUCCUUCAGUGCCAACUUUUCUGUGAAUGACUCUGAUAAUCACAAUGAGAAGCUAUUGCAGUGAAAACAUCCUCCAAUAAAGAGAACUGUGGCAGGAAAGAGUUAAAUUUCAUUCAUUCAAAAGUGCCCUUUCAUAAGUCUAAGAAGCUUUUGCUAGUUGGGAGUAGGAUCUCUUGGCUUUGUUGGAGGGGUUUUGGGGUGCAGGGCUUACUUUUCAAGACUAUGGCUUGUCAGGUGCUAUGCAAAUAAAAUGAGGAAAAUCUGGGCCCUACUUCAUACUCAAGACAGUCCAUCCAUUAUUAUUUGGAAAACAUUUUUUUCCUGCACUAAAGCUUCAUUAUUGUUUCCGUCUUAAUGAAGUGACUGGGGAUGGGGGUGAGUAGGCGCAGUACAGGGUGGGAGGAGGUCGUGGGGAGAGAAUGGAGAGGAGUGUUCCUGGCUUCUGUUGUGGAGUCUUUUCUAUUUGACUUCAUGGUUGUAAGUAUUUCCAGAUGGUGAAUCAGACACCAGACGUAACAAUAUUUCCAUAUUUGGGUAUAGCAGUAGCCUGCGUUUUUAACAUUUUUCUGCCUCUGUUAUCCAACCACAAAGCAUUCUUGACAGCUUCAAAUGUUGUUAAAUAUAGACUUAACUUCUGUUCCCAGAGCAGGAAAUUCUUUGGAAUUCCUUGUUUUUCACGCAAUCUGUCUAUCAUGAUUUGAAAUAAAAUUAUAGUGGAUGAUCCAACUGGCCGGUGUAUAUACCUUGCUCUUUUAUUGAGCGGGACGGAAGAUACGCAAAGCGAUUUCGUCUGCCACACAGCUUUGAAACGCAGGCCAUUCCAGAGAUUCCUUUAAAAAUCAGAUUAAAGUUUUCUAACAAGGAUGUGUGGGCUUGUUUCUGGGCUUCAGCUGGGGAAUCUUGGAGGAUGUUUGCCCUAGAGGAGAAACUUAGAGAACCUUACCAUCAGCUACCCAUUUAAAGCAGGGAGUACGUUGUGGGAGGAGGGUGGGGAGCCGGAGCAAACAGGGCCAGUAGGUGGGGGAGAGGGAAAGACUGGAGCAACCUAUGUGCACAGCCUUUCCAUAUACUAUGUCCUGGUGCGCCUGCUAGUAAACGACGGCAUCAGACGGGAGGAACUGCAGCUCCUCACGUCCUGCUUAAGGAUGGUCCAGAAACCCCAGAUGUCCCGUCCCCUUCACGCCUCCUCCGCUGAGAGCUGCAGAUCAGUUCACGUUGACAGAUUAGAGGGGAAAUGUGCAAACGUUUAUGGUUUCAUCUGUACAAAAAGGAGAUCUGGUUAGCUUCUGCUGAGACUUUUCAGUAGAAAAUGCUUCAAAAAAGAAAAGAAAAGGAGCAGCUAUUUUGAAGACUGACUUUCUAAAAUUACAUUUAGGAUUAAGCGGCUGUAACAUUGCCAUUCGUCGCCGAGGCUCCUGGUUUCAGCAUGUCUCCUUGGUUCCCAGCCAGUCCUGGGUGUUCAGGUAGCAGCUGGAGCUGGGAGUGCCUCUCCAGCCCGCAUUCCUUGGCUAUGAAUUUUGCAGCCCUGUUUAUCUGAUGAAGACCUCCCCACAGUGAGUUGCUCAUGACACUGUCACACAGACCUUAAUAAAUGAUAUGGAAAGAUACUGAAUAUUUUUCCUCCAGGAAUGCCAAGUGAUCCUGCAUGCCAACCAGUCCCCUCACUUUGGCUGAUCAUGGAUAAAAAGCCUGGUGCCGAGAUCUGAUGAGACCUGUCCCACAUAAACCAAAUUCUAACAGGAUGCCUGCAAGUCCUCUCUAUGAGGCUGCCACCCAAGCCUGUUUGGAGAAUUUUCAACAGUUACAUUUGCACAGACGUUGGUUCUCACUUUUCUGCACUAAUUAUUUACUUCGGUUUAUACUUUCAAUCUAUAUAUGUUAUCACCCACUUCAGCACACAAAGACCUGUCUUCCUUUUCUCGGAAUGACUUGACUUGAGAUAGCUUGGGGUGGCCUCAAAGCAUGGCUUUCUCACUAUUUCAUGUGUCUUCAUUUUGCCUUCCCAAACCAGACUGUAAAUUCCUUGAGAGAGGAGACCCGAAAACUGAUAAUACCUUAUAUAGACAGAUAGGCAACAGCAGCAACAACAACAGCAGCAACAUUUGUACAAAAAGGCUGUUGUUGCUCUUAGUAAUUGAGAAAAUUUGCCUUAACAUGUUCAAAAGACUCUAGAUCAUUUGCACUAACAUAUGUUUCUUCUCCUUUCCCCUGCCUGCCCUCUGCUGGAACUGCUAGUGAGCAAUAAGAGGGCCAAAGAAGGACAUGGUGUGGGAAACAUGGGGAAAACAGGGGCUUGUCUCAUUGAAAAGCAAGCUGAAUAACCGUGAUUUGUGAGUUCACAACCUAGAUCUUUGAAGUUCCUCGUUAUUCGUCUUUGGGUAAUUAGCAGUCUCAUUACAAGACCCCUUGUGGGUUCAGCUGUGCUUGGGGAUGUGAUUCUGCCUACUGGCGUGGGACCGACCAAAUGACCUUGCGUGUCUAACACUCUUCUAUGCCUCUCUCAUCUCUCUCCCUCUUGCAACCUUCCAAUAGAUGGCAGACAGCUGAGCCAGGUAGUGCCCCGUCCUAAACAUGAAUGCCCUCCUGCUUACCAAUCCCGCAAAACCUUCACCACCUUCCUAUAUAACAGGCAUUUUCAAGUAUCUGGCAAGACUGCCAGUUUGGUAAUACAAGGCAGAAGGUAAGUGUGAAACUCCAGACUGGUUUCCUGUUUCGAAGGGGAGCAGGCUGUGACAGCUGCUGAGGCAGCCCUUUUGCCCUUGGAGAGGAGAAGCCAGAGUGUCUGAUCACUAGAUGACCUCUGCCUCUUGCUGGCUCAGGGAUGCUGUGAGCAGUCCCACGCCCCCACCUAUUCUUGGUCAGAUGGCUGCAUGUUAUGAAAACAGGGAGGUAAAGCAUGUUUUUUGCUUUUGUUUUAUUAUUAAAAGAGGCACUCUCUGGAGAGGCAGAAUCCAUUAGCUGAAUCCAUUUCAGUACUAUGGUUAAUUAAUUUAGGCAGUUUUAAUGCACUUUUAUUAUGUAGCCUUUAAGAGCAAUUCUGGUAAAUGUCCAUCCCAUAAAUACUAGCACUACUUUAUAUGUAUGAUAUCCUUUUUGGAAGGGUGAGUCUGAACUAUUAUACAGAUGUUAAUUUGCACACAACACUGACCAGACAAUGCAAAAAUGCUUCCUCAUAGUUUGAACAUUGUUCGAUACAUUUUGAAGUGGGAAAAACUGUUGGAUAUGACACUCUGUGUUUUAAGUCAGUAAGUCACUCUGGUUGCCUCCCAAAACAUAACUUUGAAAAGCAGUUUUGUCCUACUAUGAACUGAAUAAUUGAUUUCCGCAUUUCAUUCUGUAAAUUAAACACUAGACUUUGAGUUACUAGAAGAAAUGGCACAGUUAGCCAAUAAACCUUUCUUAUAAAAUGACAACAUUUUAAUUUAUUGUAUGCAUUAGCAUUUAUUCAUGGCUAAGAUUUCAUCAAUCAAUUUCCCAUUUAAAAAAGAUGUCUCUGAAAACAACAGUGGAGAAAUGCUUAGUUCCAAAAGCAAUGUUGUGGGCGGCAGCAGCAGGUCUAGCGUUUGGGCACGCAUUUAACUCAAUUAUUAUAGUCAAUAAUCAUGCGGCUCCAAGUAUAAACCCAUGUUUUUUAAGUAUCUACCUUAUGAACUGACAUUCUUGGAAUAUUAGUUUAAAAACGAAAAUAUUUAAAUUUCAUUAUUUGAGAGGUGUGCUGCAUUUGCUCAAAAUUAUAACAAUGUCUGGUAUUAUUUUACAAUAUUUAGUUUGCUACUUUAAUGGGCUUCUACAGUGCUUUGGAUUUUUAAUUUUGUUUACAGUAAUACAGUUCAAUAGUUGACUUCAGAUUAAAUAUUAGUAUAUUUCAAUAUUUUUAUUAAUUAGUUGCUUUUUGAAAAUAUUUUAAACUGAAAAUUUCUUCAAAAUAGAAGCUUUAAGAAUCACUACCAGCAGAUAAAUAUUAAUUUUAAAUCAUUCAUUCAUUUCAUUCAUUCAACGAAAUAGUAUUUAACACAUAACAGGACUGACUUAUCCAUGCACAGAAUAGGCAUAGCACCUGGAGCCCACAAUACUUUUAGGGGCCUGUGCAAAUGCUUUAAUUUUUUU